rnacentral:rRNA from 1 species
CCUACGGGGGGCAGCAGUCGAGAAUCAUUCACAAUGGGGGAAACCCUGAUGGUGCGACGCCGCGUGGGGGAAUGAAGGUCUUCGGAUUGUAAAGCUCUAUCAGCAGGGAAGAAAAUGACGGUACCUGAGUAAGAAGCCCCGGCUAACUACGUGCCAGCAGCCGCGGUAAUACGUAGGUGGCAAGCGUUGUCCGGAAUUACUGGGUGUAAAGGGAGCGCAGGCGGGAAGCCAAGUCAGCUGUGAAAACUACGGGCUUAACUUGUAGACUGCAGUUGAAACUGGUUUUCUUGAGUGAAGUAGAGGUUGGUGGAAUUCCGAGUGUAGCGGUGAAAUGCGUAGAUAUUCGGAGGAACACCGGUGGCGAAGGCGGCCAACUGGGCUUUAACUGACGCUGAGGCUCGAAAGUGUGGGGAGCAAACAGGAUUAGAUACCCCGGUAGUC